rnacentral:rRNA from 1 species
GAGUAACGCGUGAGUAACCUGCCUUCAAGAGGGGGAUAACAUUCUGAAAAGAAUGCUAAUACCGCAUGACAUAUCGGAACCACAUGGUUUUGAUAUCAAAGAUUUUAUCGCUUGAAGAUGGACUCGCGUCCGAUUAGUUAGUUGGUGAGGUAACGGCUCACCAAGACCGCGAUCGGUAGCCGGACUGAGAGGUUGAACGGCUACAUUGGGACUGAGACACGGCCCAGACUCCUACGGGAGGCAGCAUG